GCUUUCCCUCCAGAGUGGAUCCUGAGUACGGCGGAACACGUGAAAUUCCGUCGGAAUCCGGGAGGACCAUCUCCCAAGGCUAAAUACUCCCUAGUGACCGAUAGUGAACCAGUACCGGGAGGGAAAGGUGAAAAGCACCCCGGAAGGGGAGUGAAACAGUUCCUGAAACCGUGUGCCUACAAGUAGUUAGAGCCCGUUAAUGGGUGAUAGCGUGCCUUUUGUAGAAUGAACCGGCGAGUUACGAU
rnacentral:rRNA from 1 species